AGUGUGGCCUAGUGGUUAUAAAGUGCUGGGUUAGGACCUGAGAGACCAGGGUUCAAAUCGCUGCUUGGCUA